AUUGAACGCUGGCGGCAGGCCUAACACAUGCAAGUCGAACGCGUGGCGGACGGGUGAGUAAUGUCUGGGAAACUGCCUGAUGGAGGGGGAUAACUACUGGAAACGGUAGCUAAUACCGCAUACCAUCAGAUGUGCCCAGAUGGGAUUAGCUAGUUGGUGGGGUAACGGCUAACCAAGGCGACGAUCCCUAGCUGGUCUGAGAGGAUGACCAGGCACACUGGAACGGAGACACGGUCCAGACUCGUACGGGAGGGAGCAGUGGGGAAGAGUGCACAAUGGGCGCAAUCCGGAUGCGGCCAUGACGAGUGGAUGAAGAAGGCCUGCGGGUUGUAAAGUACUUUCAGCGGGGAGGCGUUACCCGAAGAAGAAGCACCGGCUAAAUCCGUGCUAGCAGCCGCGGUAAUGC
rnacentral:rRNA from 1 species